CUGCCUUGAGCCAGACCUCCACCUGUGGGUUGACUUCCAUCUUGACCUCAUUAUGUUCUCAGUGUUUGGUAGGACCUGGUCUCCAUCUUUAGUGCUGUACCAGUUGCCUUGCUUAGGUACUUUGGGAUGUGAUCUGGCUGAAGAUGUCUCUUCCUGAUCUUCCAUGGGGGUGCCCUCUGUUCUGGGUCAUCCUCCUGUUAGACAGCAGCCCUGCUCGGGUGGCUCCCUCCCAUGCUGAUCUGAGAAAAUGUCCCCCAGCAAGAAAGGUGGGACUGGAACUGUGGCUGAGCAUACCUUCGGGGAAAACCAACAGGUCUGGAGCGGAUAUUAUGCAAUCCCUACAACUCUACUGGUGCACGCUGCCUUGCAGGGAAUGAAGUUAAGCCAUCAAAAUAUUCAGACAAAUAUUGACAACUAGCUGUGCAAACUGAGCGUUUCCUCUGUGAACUAUGAAUGCAGAGGGGAAGAGGAUAAAUGGCAUAAAACUGGCCAACAUCAGAGGAUGUUCUACAUCAAGACACAUUCCUGGAUGAGUUAUACUGCCUGAGAAGAGUAAAAAUCUCAUGAAAAGACGGAAGGAUCUAGUGAAACAGUGCAGAGGCAUGAAGGACCAUGCAGGUGCAGCUUCAUACUGGAACAGUCUACCGAUAUUUUCCUCUCGGUAAAGAUUUCCACUCAGGGCAAUAGGAGUUUUACCGGUGAUUUCUCUUGGUUUGGCAUUAAAAUACAUAUAUACAGUAUCCACAGCUUGUGGUUAAAUCAAACAUCCUGGCUGUCCAAAGGGUUACAUUUCUAAGAGCUGAUGCCAUGCCUGAUGGAUUCUUAUUCACUACAGUUUAUAUAUAUAACAUUCAGAUUAAAAUUGUACUGGAGGAAAGAA